rnacentral:rRNA from 1 species
AACGAACGUUGGCGGCGUGGAUGAGGCAUGCAAGUCGAACGCGAAAGCCGCAAGGCGAGUAAAGUGGCGGACGGGCGAGUAACACGUAAUCAAGCUACCUGCGAGACGGGGAUAACUUCGGGAAACCGAAGCUAAGACCCGAUGGUCUUCUAGGAACGCAUGUUCCAUGAAGUAAAUGGGCGGGAUCCUCCGGGAUCGCCUGCUCGCAGAGGUGAUUGCGGCCCAUCAGCUAGUUGGUAGGGUAAUGGCCUACCAAGGCAACGACGGGUAGCCGGCCUUAGAGGGUGGUCGGCCGCACUGGGACUGAGACACUGCCCAGACUCCUACGGGAGGCCGCAGUCGAGAAUCUUCCGCAAUGGGCGAAAGCCUGACGGAGCGACGCCGCGUGGAGGAUGAAGGCC